rnacentral:siRNA from 1 species
AGAGUCUAUUGGAUGUCGC